rnacentral:rRNA from 1 species
GACGGAAGGUGCAAGCGUUGCUCGGAAUCACUGGGCGUAAAGGGCGCGCAGGCGGCUGCUCAAGUCAGGCGUGAAAGGCCUGGGCUCAACCCGGGAAUUGCGCUUGAGACUGGGCUGGCUUGAGUGCGGGAGAGGGAUGCGGAAUUCCAGGUGUAGCGGUGAAAUGCGUAGAUAUCUGGAGGAACACCGGUGGCGAAGGCGGCAUCCUGGACCGGCAUUGACGCUGAGGCGCGAAAGCCAGGGGAGCAAACGGG